CCCCCAGCGCCUCCUCUCGCGAUGACGGAGGCAGCCGCGGGACCGCGGGGCGUUGUGGGAGUCGUAGUUGGCCGCACGCGCCGGAAGCGCCUGCGCUCUCGCGUUUCCGUUCCGAGCGAGGCCUCGUCUUCUCUGAUCCGGCCUGGCCCCACCCCCAGGAGGCCCCGCCCCCAGGAGGCCCCGCCCCGCUCCCCUAGUUCCCGGAGCCGGGGCGGAGAAAAGGGGCACCAGUCGCGCAGUGGGAGCCGCUGGAGCGGGUGGUGAUCUUGAUCCUUUCCCAGGUCCGCGAUUGCAGGUCGCGCUGGUUUUGUCUAGGACGGGGCGGACGCCUUUACUGCGCGCCUGCGAGGUGCCGAGCCCGGGCCUGUGCCACUGCCUGUCCUCCAGCAGAGCCCCGCAAGCCCCUAGUACUGAGAAGGGGGUCGGGUCGCUGGAGGGGAAACCGAGGACGGGCGGUGGGAGACUCCACCCACCACGAGCCCAGCUGCCCAGAUGCAGGCCUGGCCGCAGCCCUGACGGCUGUGUUGCCCCUUCCCCCAGACGGUCGAGUGGGGAUGCUGGCGCAGUGGGGCAGUUUAACUCUUGAUUUCAGUGUAACAGACGCGCUGGGUGGUGUAGAAAUCCUGUGUCCUUUCGUGAAGUCCUCACGGCUUCACCAGCCCCGCCUUACGAAAUGCGGCCAGCCUCCUGGGAGCCCCUCAGCCCCUUUCCUAUCACCCACCCCCCCAACCGCCCUUGAGGUUGCUCAAGGGGAGGUCGGCGGCAGGGGCCAGAGGAUGGGUUUGGGUGUUUAAGGAGGGGGCUGCUGCUGAGUUGGGACCUCGAGCUGUGGGGUUCAGCGUGCCCACGCAUUGCAGAAUGCUGAAUGACUUCUCUGACUUCUACCCACUAGAUGCCAGUAGCAUCCCCCCCACCUCAGUGUGACAACCAAAGAUACUCCCCAGUGUCUCCAGGGGUGGGGUGGGGGUCACCCUCAGCUGAGAACCAGUAGCUUGAGAAAGAUCUAUGGCCAUUGCCUAGAAUCCUGUUGACUCCGUCUUCAAGUAUGAAUUUUUUUUCCACUGGGGCCUUGCUUGAGAAUUUUCCUCCCUAUAUAUUGACCUUGGCAUUCGUUUCUUGGGGCAGCUAUGACAAAGUACAACAAACUGGGUGGCUUCAAACAAGACAUUUAUAUUCCCACAGCUCCGGAGACCAGGAGUCUGAAAUCAAGGGGCCAGCAGGCUUAGUUCUUUCUGAGGGCUGCAAGGGACAAAUCUGUUCCGUGCCUCUCUCCUAGCCUCUGGGGGCUGCUGGCAAAUCUUGGCGUUCCCUAGCUUGUAGACGCAUCUCACCCCUCUCUGCCUCUGUCUUCGUGUGGCUUAGUCCCUGUAUCUCUCUGUCCCUAUAAGGUCACCAGUCCUAUUGGAUUUACCAACCCGACUCCAGUAUGACCUCCCCUUGACUUUUUGUAUCUGCAGAGACCCCAUUUCCAAAGACAAUAGAGACUAUCGUCACCUAGGUCCUACCCUCCCUGUCUCUAUAAGGACCUGCACCUGUGUGACUCUGGUCCUUUCUGCCUCUCCACCGGGUGUCCUUCCUCCUGUGUGGGGCUGGGCCCUGGACAUCUCAACCCACUCUGGGAAUGUGCCUCUUCCACUAACCAGUCCCUUCCCGUGGACUCCUUCCUCUGGGCAUAUACAAGUGGUAAAGAAAACAACACACACACACAAACAGGAAACAAAACCAUCCCAAUGAGGUGACCCUGUGUGGUUCUGUGCUUCCACUCAAUAGAGCGUAGAAAGGAUUCUAGAAAGGGAAGAUUCUAGAAAGAGAAGAUUCUAGAAGGGGAAGGACCUGUCUUCUUCAGUUACUGGAUCUGCAACCUUCCCUUCAUACAGUUUUGCUUGUUUGGUUUCUAUCAAAGGGCACCGAAGUGAUUCUGGACAGUACGAGGAUGUGGUCUCACCCCACUGAGACUCACGGAACUGAUGUCUCCUCUCUGCGACAGGUGCAGCGUCUUUGUUGGGUCGUACUGAGUCUGAGUCCCUGCUCGUCCUUGUUCACUUCUCCUUUUAACACAGGGCGGUCUCCUGCCCGGACCUUAGGUAGACACACUGUCUAGCUAAAAGGUAAUCCCUUUUUUGGUUUUCAUUGUAUUUAUUUCAUUUUAUUAUUUCUUAAAACCAUUUUGUUGAGGCAUGAGUGCCAUGUGAAGAGCUGUACAUAUGUAAUGCGAGUUUGGGGAUAAGGAUGCACCCCAAAACCAUCACCAUCGUGCUCAUGGACAUACCCAUCACCUCCCACAGUAGUGUCCUGCCGCCUUUAUUAUGAAUGAUUCUUAUUUGUGUGGUAAGAAGCUAUACAUAAGUUCCCCAAAUUUUAGGUACGUAACCCAGUACGGUCAGUGAUAGGCACUGUUCUGUGCAGUGGAUCUUCUGCAUAUCGGAAACUUGAUUCCCAACGACCAACAUCUGCCCGUUUCCCCCACCCCCCGUCCCUGGCCACCACCGUUCUCUCUGCCUCUAUGAAUUGGACCAUUUUAGAUUCCAUAUGUAAGUGAGAUCAUAUAUUAUUCGUCUUUCUGGGUCUGGCUUGUUUCAUGGAGCAUAACGCCCUCCGGGUCCCACCCUGUGGCCACAAAUGGCAGGACUUCCUUCUUUUAAAAGUCGGAACUGCAGUCCGUUGCACAUAUACAGCGCGUGAUUUUUAUCCACUCGCCCCUCGAUGCACACCUAGCUUGUUUCCGUGCCACGGCUGCUUGUGGGUCGUCUGCAGGGAAUGCUGGAGCCCAGGGACCGCUCCAAGAUCCUGAUUGCAGUUUCCUUGGGAGAACUGCAGACUCUUUCCUUCAGAACCAACCUGAAGAGCUCAUGUGUGGGUCCAGCUUCACUAAACCCAGCAUCGAACACAGCCUUGUUAAUCACACCGUAGUUGCCACCUAUUAAGAUCAAGACCCUCUGUAUUUAUUCUGGAUGAAAUGCAAGGUGAUCUACCUCGAGAAUUUGCUGGUAAAGGGUCACUCCAUUUGUCGGACUGUUUAGAAUCCCAUUUUGGAAAUCUGGGAUGUUAUCAAAAUUUCUAAAAAUGGUCCUUGAGAAUCCGAGUCCUGUCUGACACCCACCACGAAACGGAGCCAGACUGAUUUUGCUCUCCAGCUCAGAUUUGCAGGACUUGGCUGAGAGUCACCUGAAAUGACGUCCCUUUGGAGGAAGGGGCGGUACUGAAGGUCACCUUUUCUGAAAUGGGAAAAUGUUUGCAUGUUUUUGCUAAAACAAAUGAUCAGAAAAUAAUUUCUCGUGUGUAAAAUGGAAAGAAAAAGUAAUUUUUAAUCAACUCGGGUGAUUGAUGUGUUUAUAGUGAAGAAGGUGCGACCGCUCGCUCAGUGGAAAUAAAAUUUUCAGUUUUGUGCUCCGCUCGCUCAGUGGAAAUAAAAUUCUCAGUUUUGUGCUCAGCAAUGGAGAAAAGCAAUUUCUGGCUCUUAAUUUUUUCCCCCAAUAACUUGGAGUAAAAUAAAAUGCAUUGGUAAAUAAUGAAAUAAUGCUUUGGUUCUACAUUUGCUUUCAAUAAACAAUGCAAAUGUGUCUGAGCAAGUUAGAAAACAUUCGGUAGUUGAGGAAAUGCCACCACUUUGGUUUCAAAGAAUUGGUUGUUUCUUUCUUUGUUUGUUUUUUUUUUUUUUGGAAGGAUCAGCAAGAAAUACACAAUAGCAGUAUCUCUGUCCGAUGAGAACCCUACGGACAGGGAGCAUCCUUAAGGAGGCGGAGAUUACGGCAGACGCUACUUUCUGAUGCAGUCUGUUCUCAUGCCUAUUUUUCUGUGCUCUGAGCUAAGUUAAGCUGGUGGCUUGAUGUGCAAAGUGUGGGAGGGCCUACUGGCUUGAGGCACAAGGAGUCUUACACUUGCUAACUUGAGGGGAUGGCCUUCUUGACACCUAGAUUUCUCCCUAGGAAUAGCCCAGGCUCACGAGGGAGGGCGGGUUUCCCAUUGUUAGAUCACCUGCCUACGGCCCCGGCUGCUGAGCACCUAUAAAGCCAGAAGAGGAAGUCUCAUAGCGUGUGAGUGUGCAGGCUCGGACCUCCCCUCUUCCCCCAGGCCUGCUCUGUGCAUGGGUGAAGGACCAAUCUAUUGUGUUCGAGAUGCGGAAUUUCCUGACUGAGCCACCGGACUUGUUCAAGAGAGAAAUACCCACAUCCUGGGACGCGGGCGGAUGCUGGUGACCGUGGGCCUUGCAGUCAAUGACCUGAGGAUGAUCUCGCCCCUCUGUGAGGAUAGCCAUCAUCUUCGCGGCCGAAUGCAGAAUGCUCGGAAUUGUUCGUCAUGAUGGCCAAGACAGGUGCACGGCCCAGCUGUGAGUGGGGACUUCUGGCUUUAUAGAAUCUGUAGAGUCCCUCGACCAACACGAGAUGUACGGGGGACCCCAGAUGACCGGUCCAAACAGUGAACUGGCACUAAGGCAAGACCUCGCACCGGCAAC